UGGCGGACGGGUGAGUAAUGUCUGGGAAACUGCCCGAUGGAGGGGGAUAACUACUGGAAACGGUAGCUAAUACCGCAUAACGUCGCAAGACCAAAGAGGGGGACCUUCGGGCCUCUUGCCAUCGGAUGUGCCCAGGUGGGAUUAGCUAGUAGGUGGGGUAACGGCUCACCUAGGCGACGAUCCCUAGCUGGUCUGAGAGGAUGACCAGCCACACUGGAACUGAGACACGGUCCAG
rnacentral:rRNA from 1 species